rnacentral:rRNA from 1 species
UACGUAGGGGGCAAGCGUUGUCCGGAUUUAUUGGGCGUAAAGAGCGUGUAGGCGGCCAGGCAGGUCUGCUGUGAAAACUCGUGGCUUAACCUCGAGCUGUCGGCGGAAACCAUCUGGCUAGAGUCCGGAAGAGGAGAAUGGAAUUCCCGGUGUAGCGGUGAAAUGCGCAGAUAUCGGGAAGAACACCCGUGGCGAAGGCGGUUCUCUGGGACGGUACUGACGCUGAGACGCGAAAGCGUGGGGAGCGAACAGG